GAAUUUUGGACAAUGGGGGCAACCCUGAUCCAGCCAUCCCGCGUGUGCGAUGAAGGCCUUCGGGUUGUAAAGCACUUUUGGCAGGGAAGAAACGGCUCUGGCUAAUACCUGGAGCUGCUGACGGUACCUGCAGACUAAGCACCGGCUAACUCCGUGCCAGCAGCCGCGGUAAGACGUAGGGUGCAAGCGGUAAUCGGAAUUACUGGGCGUAAAGCGUGCGCAGGCGGUUGGGCAAGAAGGAUGUGAAAUCCCAGGGCUUAACCGUGGAACUGCAUUCUUAACCGCCAGGCUAGAGUAUGUCAGAGGGGGGUAGAAUUCCACGUGUAGCAGUGAAAUGCGUAGAGAUGUGGAGGAAUACCGAUGGCGAAGGCAGCCCCCUGGGAUAAUACUGACGCUCAUGCACGAAAGCGUGGGGAGCAAACAG
rnacentral:rRNA from 1 species